AAUUUAUGGUUGGGGCGUUGAGUUAACUUCUUCUUAAAAUAUAUCCAUGCUUCAUGUAAUGCUUCACCAGGUAGUUGUCUAAAAUAAUAUAACUCAUUCCUUAACU
rfam:Capsicum annuum cultivar Zunla-1 chromosome 11, whole genome shotgun sequence